rnacentral:rRNA from 1 species
UACGUAGGGGGCGAGCGUUGUCCGGAUUUAUUGGGCGUAAAGAGUGUGUAGGCGGCCAGGUAGGUCUGCUGUGAAAACUCGAGGCUCAACCUCGAGACGUCGGCGGAAACCAUCUGGCUAGAGUCCGGAAGAGGAGAGUGGAAUUCCUGGUGUAGCGGUGAAAUGCGCAGAUAUCAGGAAGAACACCCGUGGCGAAGGCGGCUCUCUGGGACGGUACUGACGCUGAGACGCGAAAGCGUGGGGAGCGAACAGG